GCUAACCAAUAACUAUCAUAAUAGGGAUCAACUCAUUAUUCUCAUUUUUCACCAUAGUUGUCCCACCCUUUUUAGGCACUAUGUGCACUGGACUGACACAUUUACUAUUAGAUAUUAGGUAUAUAAUACCUACAUCCAAUAGUUUCAAAUUUUUUUUUUAUUACCUCUUUCAUGUUAGGGUUCAAUCUCCUUUGAUGUUCAAUGGUAGGUCUACUGUUUUCUUCCAUAGGUAUUAUGUGCAUACAAAUGGAAGGUUUAAUUCCCUUAAGGUCUUUUAUAGUGUGCCCUAUAGUCUUGCUAUGAGUCCUAAGUUUCCCUAAGAGAUUUUUCCUCUUCUACAAUGAUUCAGGUUAGCGCUUAAAAUAAUAGGAUAUUUAGAAUUAGGGUCCAAGAAUGCGUACCUUAAUAUAGAAGGAAGAGGUUUCAAUUCUACCUGUCUUGUUUCUUCUUGUGGCUUGUUUUUGGGUUGCUCUUCCUGUAGCUUUUCUACUAGUAGUGCUUGAGCCAAGGGUAAAGGUGGGUUAGCUUUAAAAGAUUGUGCAUAUGCUGCAAUUUCUUUGUUUUCAUCCUCCACUGUGUGGCUGUGCACUAUGCAAGCUUCAAAAGGGUCUUCGGGAUAUCUUUUUUGAAAUUCAUCUACUACUAGCUUGUCUAUGAUGUCAACCCUUAAACAUUCAUUAGAUUCAGAUUUGUGAUUCAUUGUUAUAAAUAGGUUAAACUCCACUUCUUCAUUCCCCACAUUGAGAGUUAACUGCCCAUGUUUGACAUCUAUAAUUGCUCCAGGCCUUCCCAAUAUUAUGGGAAUUCAGACAUCUUUCUUCAUCUCCAGGAUAACAAAAUCUACAGGAAUGAAAAAUUUACCCACUUUGAUAGGGAUGUUCUCUAAGAUGCCAAUUGGAUACUUGAUAUACUUGUCUGUUAAUUUUAAUGAGAUAGUAGGUGGUCUCAAUUCUCCAAUAUUCAGCUUUUGAUAUAUAGAUAAGGGCAUCAGGCUCGUACUAGCUCCAAGAUCUCAGAGGGCUUUGUCUAUGUUCAUGUUACCAAUUAGGCACGGUAUAGAGAAGCUUCCAGGAUCUUUCA
rnacentral:misc_RNA from 1 species